rnacentral:rRNA from 1 species
GACGAACGCUGGCGGCGUGCUUAACACAUGCAAGUCAUGGGGACCCGCAAGGGUAACCGGCGAACGGGUGCGUAACACGUGAGCAAUCUGCCGAUUUCUGGGGGAUAGCCGGCCCAACGGCCGGGUAAUACCGCAUACGUUCUCGAGGGGGAGUCCCCUUGGGAAGAAACCUCCGGGGAAAUCGAGGAGCUCGCGGCCUAUCAGCUAGUUGGCGGUGUAAUGGACCACCAAGGCUAUGACGGGUAGCGGUCUGAGAGGAUGGCCAGCCACAUUGGGACUGAGAGACGGCCCAGACUCCUACGGGAGGCAGCAGUGGGAAUCUUGCGCAAUGGCCGAAAGGCUGACGCAGCGACGCCGCGUGUGGGAUGAAGCAUUUCGGUGUGUAAACCACUGUUGCCCGGGGACGAACAGCCUUUUUCGAGAGGUCUGACGGUACCGGGUGAGGAAG